GUACUAUGACAGAAAACAUACAUUUUAACUCAUGCUAUCAGAAGAAAAUUGGGUGUGGAAGACAAAACUUUCCUUUUAAAAGUUUACCCUGCUUGAAGAGUAUUACAGGAAUGGAGUGAGGCAGCAAGCCCUGGUUAUACUCUCGGCCACACAUUGAAGCUAAAGCUACAAUUGGAAGGUCUCAGUCUUGGGUUGGAAUUACUUGAAAAGUAAUGACCUGCUUGAAAAAUAUUAAAAGAAUGGAGUUAUACAGCAAGUCCUGGUUAUACUCUUGGCCUCAUUUUGAAACUGAAGCUAGAAUUGGAAGGUCCACUUCUGG